rnacentral:rRNA from 1 species
CUCGACCUGAGCUCAAGCAAGACCACCCGCUGAACUUAAGCAUAUCAAUAAGCGGAGGAAAAGAAACUAACAAGGAUUCCCUUAGUAAUGGCGAAUGAAACGGAAUAGCAUCUGUCCGCAUGGCCCA